rnacentral:rRNA from 1 species
GUGGGGAAUAUUGCACAAUGGGCGCAAGCCUGAUGCAGCAACGCCGCGUGAAGGAAGACGGUUUUCGGAUUGUAAACUUCUGUUCUUAGUGAAGAAAUUUGACGGUAGCUAAGGAGCAAGCCACGGCUAACUACGUGCCAGCAGCCGCGGUAAUACGUAGGUGGCAAGCGUUGUCCGGAAUUACUGGGUGUAAAGGGAGCGCAGGCGGGAAAGCAAGUCAGCUGUGAAAUCCAUGGGCUCAACCCAUGAACUGCAGUUGAAACUGUUUUUCUUGAGUGAAGUAGAGGUUGGCGGAAUUCCGAGUGUAGCGGUGAAAUGCGUAGAUAUUCGGAGGAACACCGGUGGCGAAGGCGGCCAACUGGGCUUUUACUGACGCUGAGGCUCGAAAGUGUGGGGAGCAAACAGGA